GAGGGCAGUCAUGCCCCAAGUGCAGUGUUUUUGUGAUUAGGCACAACUGAAGCUUGUUAGCAAUAAUAUGACCCUGUGAUUAAUUGAGCGGCUGACCAAUCAUUACCUCCUCCUCCCUGCUCUUUCUACCCAAUAAAUACAAAGGGCUGUGGAAGCUCAAUGGGCUGCCUUUGCUCAUUAGAAGCAGGGAGCUCUCUUCUUCUUCCCCUGGAUCCUUCCUUUAAAAUAGUUUCUUUUGUCUUAAGUUUUCAUUUCUACGUUUGUCCCUUCAUUCAGUCUCUUAAAUGACGGUCUCAAGCAGUAACAGUAGUAAUUGCUGUAAUGACGGUCUCAAGUAGUAACCAGGGCACUCUGCCACAAGUGGCACCUGAACAGGGACUAACAGGGACUAUCAAGAACAAACGGAGACCUGAAGAGACCUGAAGGGAACUGAAGAGGUCUGCAGGGACAAAUAGAGAUAAGUAGGGAUAAAUAGAGAUAAAUAGAGACAAAUAGAGAUAGGUAAGGAAUGACAGGGACUUGCAGGAAGUAACAGGGACCAUAGGGACAGAUAGGGAUAGAUAAAGACUAGCAAAGACUAGCCGAGAUUAGCAAAGACCAGCAAGGACUAGCAGAGACUAGCAAAGACUAGCAGAAACUUGCAGGGACAGGCAGAGACAGAUAGGGACAGAUAGGGUCCUACAGGGACUUGAACGAGGAAGAUCUGCUGGAAAAGAAAAGAACUACAACCAACCAGAUGAACAAGAAACCCUGUUACAAGUCUGCUGGCAGCAACAUAAGGAAAUGAACAAAAAGUGUGGGUGCCCCCAAGGUGUGUACUACCAUGGAAUGGGAGAUUGGAGGGACACAUGGAUCCCAACCGUGGGCCUGGUUCCCCCAGUAUGAGCUGAAUACGAAGACAGAACAAACCACCAACCGGCAAUUGAAGUAAAUGAUAGCUCCUUACAAAUACAGAGGACAAAAUAAAAGUGACUUAAUUAUAAAAACACAGUGACACAAAGUGAACCGGGUUCUAUAAAUUACCAUGGAAAGUGGUGAGCCAACGAUUUGGCAGAACAAAACCCUGAGGAUAUGCAAACAAAAGGGACUAUGGAAUUUGCAAUUGCAGAUUAAAAUUGAAGAAGAAAACAUUUGAGUUGCAAAUACCGUAUUAAAAGUGGACACUGCUUAUGACUGCUGUAUGCAACAGUUUUUCAGGCCCGAGAGGAACCCAGACAUGCUCUAUUUGCAAACCGACUGCAUGAAACAAAAAGCACGGUAAUUCUGAAGCUGUUGGCUUGGAUGAAAUGAGAAUGUAAUUAAAAAGAAAAAGGUUAGCAAAAGAACAUGCUGGGAAUUGAAAAUAAAAAUCUGAAAUGAUGUCCCAGCCUGCCCUUAAGGUCUUUUCCACCAUGUAGAGAGCUACCUCAAAUGCUCUACUUGUCCCAGAGUCUAUGUUCUUUCACUACUAUUGCCUAUAUCUGUGUUUUCUGCUUUCAAUAAUCUAUUGAAAUAAUCAAAAUUAAUUACAUUCAGCAUUUUUUCUGUAUUACUCUGAUUCUAAUAAUUACCUCAAAUUUAUUUGUGCAUUUCUAUACUAGAAAGAAAAAAUAAUUUUUAGAGUUUUACUAUAUCUUCCCCUUAAUUCUAAGUUGCUUGUCACUAAUUCCUUUCCCAACACUAUGUUAUUUCCACCAAGAACAUUACCAAUAUCUUCAGGAAAAUUCCACCCCAUAUUUUAAGCCAGAUUGAUUAUUGGGAAUAUAAAUACAUUUAAGAAGGAAAGUCUUUUUGACUGUGUUUCUCCACAGACCAAUAGUAUACAAAACACAGAAGGCUUUUAAGCACAUUUCAUAGGGAUCACUGACUUAGAACAGAAGGAACCAUUUCGUGAAACACUCUCAUUUUGCACAUAAAGGAGCUGUGGCCCACAGAGGAAUAUGAUUUACUGAGAGUGACCCAGUUAGUGGCCAUAAACCAAAAGCCCCAAGAUGCUAAAUGUUUGUUAUGAAGAGUAAAAAUCCUCCCAGUUUAUAAGAAGUAACUUCAUCCUUCCAUUUUCUAUUUCCACGAUGACUCCCCUGGCUUAAAUUUUAAUCUCUAUUUUGGAUGACUCCAAAAUCUCAUUCUUCUAAAUUAAUUAUCUAAUACCACAAUGUUGCACUUAUCUUCCUACAAAUCUACUUUCAUCUGCCUUGACAAAGCCAACCCUAAUUUUCUCUAGUCCUCAUUAGAAAUUAUUGCAACAAAAAUUCACAUCCAGUCUGAAGUUUGGGAGCCAGAAAAGAAUUUUCCCAUUAAGAUGAGACAGUAUCAAUUAUUAAGCAGAGGAAGACACAAGAGGGAAAGCAGCUUUCACAUGAAAAAAAAAGAACUCUGAUUUUCUGACACAUUUUGUCAUUGCAGUCAAACUUUCAGAGUUAGAACUAGAGACCUAGAUAUUAGCUAACCCAGCAUUUUCCAAGUAUUCCUCGGAACUCUAGAGGCACAGCAUAGUACUGGUAAUGAUUUUGUGGCAGGAUAGAUUAAGGAAACCUCACAGUUAUACCAAGUUAAAUUCAUUUAUUUCAUGUAAAAUUCUGAUAGCCUUUUAUGCUACUAGGCCUAGUGAUACUCCAAAAUUAUUGGCCAUAUAUCUGAAAUUUAUUUCAGCAAGAAACCCUUUAAAGAGCAUCCCGCAGAGUUAGUGUUUUGAGGGAUAUCAUUGGGGAAAAUGCUGAUCUAGACCAAUUCAACAAAUUGUAACUUAGUUAACACCAGAGUCAAAACAAAAACCAAGUCUACUCAUGUCUGUCUUAGGCCCUUUUGGUCACAAAAACACGUUCAAACCACUUCAAUUAAGAAAAUGGUGAGAGGGGAAAAGACAAGCAGGGAACCUUAUCCCAGGUGGGCUGAUCACAGGACUUCCAAGGCUGUCCCUUAGAAGAGUCACGAUAAUGGCAUCUCUAGCACAAAACUCAAAUUUAGUUUUAAUUCUUAGUCGAAUAAUAAUACAGUAAAAUUUAUUGCAUGCAUAAGGAUAAUACAUUAAAACUACUUAAAUUACAUUUUAGGGCCGGGCGCGGUGGCUCACGCCUGUAAUCCCAGCACUUUGGGAGGCCGAGGCGGGUGGAUCACGAGGUCAGGA
rnacentral:lncRNA from 1 species